rnacentral:rRNA from 1 species
AACGAACGCUGGCGGCAUGCCUAACACAUGCAAGUCGAACGAGACCUUCGGGUCUAGUGGCGCACGGGUGCGUAACGCGUGGGAACCUGCCCUUAGGUUCGGCAUAACUCCCCGAAAGGGGUGCUAAUACCGGAUCAUGUCUUCGGACCAACGAUUUAUCGCCUUUGGAUGGGCCCGCGUUGGAUUAGCUAGUUGGUAGGGUAAAAGCCUACCAAGGCGACGAUCCAUAGCUGGUCUGAGAGGAUGAUCAGCCACACUGGGACUGAGACACGGCCCAGACUCCUACGGGAGGCAGCAGUGGGGAAUAUUGGACAAUGGGCGAAAGCCUGAUCCAGCAAUGCCGCGUGAGUGAUGAAGGCCUUAGGGUUGUAAAGCUCUUUUACACGGGAUGAUAAUGACAGUACCGGGAGAAUAAGCUCCGGCUAACUCCGUG